GGGAUUUCCGAGAAACUGGUGUACACCCGAGAACUGAGGUGCCAGGGGAUAAAGGGCAGGGGUAGGUCCUGCAGGAGUGGGGUAGGGCAGGAGGAAUAUAAGCGUCAGGAGCCCCGCGGUGCUCCCUGCGGAGCCGCUUCGUCCCGACCUUCUUCCAGAGUGAACCCUGAGUAAAGGACCUGGGAGAGAAGAAGCAUGGCAGGCAUUGGAACAGUUGAAAAAGGACGGGAGGCAGAGGCCACAAAGCCUCAGGAAUCUUGGAUGAAGGAGGACUUCCAGGAGCUCAUCCAACAAGUGAAAGCUAUGCGUGAAGAUCUCCAGAAAGGGCAGGAAUCCAGUAAGUGUGAUAUUCAGCUGCUCAUAGAAGGCCUGAAGAAGGAACAGGGUGAGCAGGGCCAUUCCCAAGCACUUCCAUCUCUCUGAACACCAAAGCUGCUCUACAGGCAAACCACUCUGAGAGCUCGUCC
rnacentral:lncRNA from 1 species